CUUGCAAGUGUUCAUCCUGUUAUGCAUUCUCCGUGAUUUGUGCUGAAAGGAUAAAACAUUAAUGAAGAAAAUCAAAACAAAUGCCUCUCCUGGGCUCUCCAUAAGGCUGUUUGAAAUAGUCUAUCUAAGAGAGAGGAUGAGAGUAUUGAUCUCCGAGAACUCUGUGGUCCUCAUUCCAGUGCUUUUGUUGGGAAGAACAGCAGAGUGGCAAGAGCAUGGGUUUGAAUCCUGUCUGUGCAUCUCAGUAGCUGUGUGUCCCUGGAACAAAGUGAGCUUUGUACACUUGCUGGUGCCAUUUGUGGCAGAAAAGGACUUUCUCGGGUUGCUCUGGAAUGAUGAAGAGCGUGUCUCUCAUCCAAGAACUGAAAUGAUACCUUCAGGUGA